GUGCUCACUUUGGCAGCACAUAUACUAAAACUGGAAUGAUACACAGAAGAUUAGCAUGGGCCUUGCACAAGGACGACAUGCAAAUUUGUGAAGCAUCCCAUAUUUUU
rnacentral:snRNA from 1 species